CGAGCGGAUGACGGGAGCUUGCUCCUUGAUUCAGCGGCGGACGGGUGAGUAAUGCCUAGGAAUCUGCCUGGUAGUGGGGGACAACGUUUCGAAAGGAACGCUAAUACCGCAUACGUCCUACGGGAGAAAGCAGGGGACCUUCGGGCCUUGCGCUAUCAGAUGAGCCUAGGUCGGAUUAGCUAGUUGGUGAGGUAAUGGCUCACCAAGGCGACGAUCCGUAACUGGUCUGAGAGGAUGAUCAGUCACACUGGAACUGAGACACGGUCCAGACUCCUACGGGAGGCAGCAGUGGGGAAUAUUGGACAAUGGGCGAAAGCCUGAUCCAGCCAUGCCGCGUGUGUGAAGAAGGUCUUCGGAUUGUAAAGCACUUUAAGUUGGGAGGAAGGGCAGUAAGCUAAUACCUUGCUGUUUUGACGUUACCGACAGAAUAAGCACCGGCUAACUCUGUGCCAGCAGCCGCGGUAAUACAGAGGGUGCAAGCGUUAAUCGGAAUUACUGGGCGUAAAGCGCGCGUAGGUGGUUCGUUAAGUUGGAUGUGAAAGCCCCGGGCUCAACCUGGGAACUGCAUCCAAAACUGGCGAGCUAGAGUACGGUAGAGGGUGGUGGAAUUUCCUGUGUAGCGGUGAAAUGCGUAGAUAUAGGAAGGAACACCAGUGGCGAAGGCGACCACCUGGACUGAUACUGACACUGAGGUGCGAAGCGUGGGGAGC
rnacentral:rRNA from 1 species